ACGACCUUACUUGAACAUGAUCUGUUCUAUAGGCUCGUACCACUGUAUCCUUGAGUUCUAAGGAGACAGGAAACCAAGUCCGGUUGAUGAGUCAGGUCCAUUAAACCAGAGCUGUGAUUAACAGCUCCCACAGCCCUUGGGUUAUGAUGCCAUAGAUGAUCGUUCUCAGCCCCUAACUACGGGUGUUGGGAUGGUCUAAUGGCUGUCUGAGAAACU
rnacentral:snoRNA from 1 species